CAAGUCGAACGAGAAGCUAACUUCUGAUUCCUUCGGGAUGAUGAGGUUAGCAGAAAGUGGCGAACGGGUGAGUAACGCGUGGGUAAUCUACCCUGUUAAGUGGGGGAUAACCCUCCGAAAGGAGGACUAAUACCGCAUAAUAUCUUUAUCCCAAAAGAGGUAAAGAUAAAAGAUGGCCUCUAUACUAUGCUAUCACUUCAGGAUGAGCCUGCGUCCUAUUAGUUAGUUGGUGGGGUAAUGGCCUACCAAGACCACAAUGGGUAGCCGGUCUGAGAGGAUGUACGGCCACACUGGGACUGAGAUACGGCCCAGACUCCUACGGGAGGCAGCAGUGGGGAAUAUUGCGCAAUGGGGGAAACCCUGACGCAGCGACGCCGCGUGGAUGAUGAAGGCCCUUGGGUUGUAAAAUCCUGUUCUGGGGGAAGAAAGCUUAAAGGUCCAAUAAACCCUUAAGCCUGACGGUACCCCAAGAGAAAGCUCCGGCUAAUUAUGUGCCAGCAGCCGCGGUAAUACAUAAGGAGCAAGCGUUAUCCGGAAUUAUUGGGCGUAAAGAGCUCGUAGGCGGUCUUAAAAGUCAGUUGUGAAAUUAUCAGGCUCAACCUGAUAGGGUCAUCUGAAACUCUAAGAC
rnacentral:rRNA from 2 species